UUUAUCCUCUUCUCUUUUCUCUCUUGUGUCUCCCUUGAGAGAAGCCAUGUAAUUGAAAUAUUUGAGCUGUCAAUUGCUCCAAGCUCCACAACAAGGACUCAAUAAUCUUCAAGUUCAGCAACUGUCAUCCAUUAUAGCUCAUUCAUUCGAAAACCUGAAGAAAAAAAAAAGAAGCAUCUUCGAGAAUUGAAACCCAAAGCUGAAAAGUCCAAAACCCCAAAAAAUUAUCUUCCUUCUCUCUUAUUUCAUCUCCUCUGUUUUUGUCAAUUUGUUUCUGCAAUUUUCUCAUACAUUCAAUCAAAAUUUGCUCCUUGUUUCUUCAUCAAAGUUGUAUAUGUCUUUGAGUUAUUGAAUUUAGCUACAAAAAUCGUCCAAUUCGGAGUUCGGAGCUGUGAGUUAUGGCCUUUGCAAGUUUGGUCUUGCUGCUGUCAUUUUCCUUCGAGGUUUCGCGAGUUUUGCUGGAGCUUCGUGCUUGCUGCUGUUGUUGUUGUGUUGAUGUUGGUGCUCCUACUUCAUUUCUUCUACUCUUUAGUGUAUUAAUGAAGGUAUAAAGUUAAAAUAUUUACUUCAUUUUUUCUUCAAAAUGUUAAGAACAAAUUCAAAUGUAUUAUUGUUAGAUUGAAUUAGCAAAUUCAACUCUAAACCUUGGUUUUCUUGGUUUUGAUGGCAAAAAUCAACAUGUGGUUGUAUGUUAGAGCUAAAGAUUAAAUCUUUCUUUUUUUUUAGUCCAUGGAUUGAAGUUGUUUUGGAACUUGUAAAUCCUAGUUUAUAAUCAUCUUCAUUUUCCUAUAUUAACUUUAGUAAAUCAGAUUUUAUACAUUAUAUUUCUAUGAAAUUCUAGACCAUGAUUUUGUAUUGUCCUUUAUGGUCAAAAUUUCCAGAGAUUCCGUUAAUUAAAUUGGGUUUAUAAGAUUCUUGUUGAUUAACGAAAAAUGUGAGUAGACUAGUGAGAUGGUUUGUGCAUAAGGGUUGUAUUAGUUCAUAAAGGAGUUUAGAAAGUAUGGCAAGUCAAUUUGUUUAUGAGAAUUGAGUAAUAAGAACGAAUGUUAAUUAUUGUUAUUAUUGUUGUGAGGUGAUUAUUGGAGAUUAAUCAUGAAUUUAAAGAUGUUGGGCUCUUGAAGAUUUUAAUUGAAUUGAGCGUUAUUUGGGAAAUGAAAGAGGUACAAACAUGUCCUUCCACCUUUGAAAUAUGAAUUUGUAUUUUGUAUAAUUACAAGGAUUUCUUGUGUUGAGCUCAAUAUAUAUAUUUAUGUAUAUAUUUUAUAACCGUGGACACCUACAAAUAUUUAUGAUUAUGAGUUGCAAAAGAGUUAUGAAAUGAAGUCAUGCUCUGAAAGUUUGAAAUUUAAAAUUCCGAGAGGUACCAAAACUUUUAAGAAUAUAAUCUGGUGACAUGGUUAUGUGAACUCGUUUUCAUGAACCAAUGAGACUUUAUAUGUUUGUAAAUAUUCUAUUAACGAUAGUUAUUAAAGUAUAAUUAUUUCAGUAGGAGUAUUUGAGUACAAGUGUUGAGUAUAAAUUUUUUUAUAUAAUUACAAGUUUUAUUUUAUAAGGGGAAGUGAACAACAUUUGUGGAGCAGGUUUGCUCAUUAUGUGUUUGGAGCGAGUAUUGCUCUAUUAUGUAGGGUUAUGACCUAGAAAGUCUUGCAAGCGGUACAAAGUUGAUAGGGGAGACGUCCCCAUGAGUUUAGAGAUGGUAUAGUCUCUCUUUUUGUAUAAGUUCCCGGAUUAUGGAAAUUAUAAGUAUUCUUGAAAUAUGAUUUGAGUAUGAUAAUGAGGAAAUGAUUUCGAAAUUGUUUUAGCUGGCUUAGUUUAGGAACUAAUAUGUAUAGUGGCAAGGUACAUGUGGAGGAAAAUGAUUCAGGUUUGAGUUAAGAUCAGAUAAGGUCGAAUUUUGUGUUAUCUUAUAUUACGUUAAGUUGCAGCCUGUAUUUGCCAGUGAUUUCUAUUACGUGAUUAAGCUAUUCCAGCGAUAUAUUUUAAAUAAUGAAUUUUUUUUCGAGCAAUUACCAAGUUUGUUUCUUAUAUAAAAAAAAAAAACAAUUUUGAUUGCUGCAACGACUCAGGGGUUUAUGUCGAAAUUCUGAGAUAUUAUACAAAUGAUUUUAUACUAAGAGAUAUGCUCUCAAUAAAGUGUUCUAAAAUAUUGAUUAACUAGUUGGAUUUAUUAAAAUGUCUUCGAAAGGAUUAAUCUAUAAGAUAGGUAACGAAGAACUAUUUUAUGAAAAGUGAUUAACGAUAUAAAAGUAUAUUUUAAGCCACUAAAAUGGAUUUCUGGUUGAACAGUUUGUACUCACUUUUUCUGAUUUUGUUCUUGAAACCUGUCCUGAUGGGGGCAGAGUUCAUUGUUAGUGAUCUUGCGGGUUCGUAUGUGGAAAGCUUGGAAUGGAGUAAAAGUAGAGGUGAUCAUUUUGGCCCGGCCCGGCCCGUUUUUGGGCCAGGUUUUGGGCAGAAUUUUACGGCCCGCGGGCCGGGCCCAGCCCGGCCAUAUUUUUUUUAGCUUUGGGCAGGAUUUAGGCAAGUCAAAAACGACUUUUAGUCAAUUUUUUGCCCAGCCCGUUUAGGCCAGCAAAAGCCCGCUAAUCUAGGUCCGAAAUAGCGAUCUUUGGACACAAAAUUUCGGCCUGGCCUCAUCAAUGGGCAAAAUUUUCAUGAUCACCUUUAAGUAAAAGGAAGAAUUUUAGUAUCAAGGUUAUAAUUAGAUUUAAUGGUUCAAAGGUUGUAUUUAGGAGUAUAUAUCCUUAUUUGUGAAUAUAAUAUUAUAUUGCUUUGGAAAUCGAGUAAAGGUAUUAUGUAAUCUCUUAUUUGGUUAUUGAGGAUGAUUUGUUGUGGGGCCUGACCCACAGGUCCAGGAUCGUUUUAUAGGUUAUACUGAAAUGAGCAAAAGUUUUACAUUUUUAAAUUUCGAGGACGAAAUUUGUUUUUAAGGGUGGUAGUAUGUAAUAGCAAAAAUUUUAAGUAGGUUUCUUAAAAGAUAAUUAUAUAUUAUUAGUCUAAUUGUAUGUUAAACUAUUGUAAAACAUAAUUGGAAAAAAAAAUUAAUUUCCAAAAAUCAAAUUUGGCUUUAAGUUAUAUUUUGAAAAAAAUAAAGAAAGAAAGCGCAUUGACUUUCUCCUCCUCUCUUUUCUCUCUCGUGUCUCCCUCAAGAGAAGCCAGUAAUUGAAAUAUUUGAGCUGUCAAUUACUCCAAGCUCCACAACAAGGAUUCAAUAAUCUUCAAGUUCAGCAACACUCAUCCAUUAUAGCUCAUUCAUUCGAAAAUCUGAAGAAUAAAAAAAGAAGCAGCUUCGAGAAUUGAAACCCAAAGCUGAAACGUCCAAAACCCCAAAAACUUAUCUUCCUUCUCUCUUAUUUCAUCUCCUCAGUUUUCGUCAAUCUGUUUCUGCAAUUUUCUCAUACAUGCAGUCCAAAUUUGCUCCUUGUUUCUUCAUCAAAGUUGUAGAUCUCUUUGAGUUAUUGAAUUUAGCCACAAAAAUCGUCAAAUUCGGAGUUCGAUAUUAUGACUUAUGGCCUUUGCAAGAUUGGUCUUGUUGCUGUCAUUUUCUUUCGAGGUUUUGCGAUUUUUGCUGCAGCUUCGUGGUUGUUGCUGCUGUAAUUGUGUUGAUGUUGGUGCUCCUACUUCAUUUCUUCUACUCUUUAGUGUAUUAAUGAAGGUAUAAAGUUAAAAUUUUUACUUCAUUUUUUCUUCAAAAUGUUAAGAACAAAUUCAAAUGUAUUAUUGUUAAAUUGAAUUAGCAAAUUCAGCUCUAAAACUUGGUUUUCUUGGUUUUGAUGGCAAAAAUCAACUUGUUGUUGUAUGUUAGAGCUAAAGAUUAAAUCUUUCUUUUUUUAUUCCAUGGAUUGAAAUUGUUUUGGAACUUGUAAAUCCUAGUUUAUAAUCAUCUUCAUUUGCCUAUAUUAACUUUAGUAAAUCAGAUUUUAUACAUUAUAUUUCUAUGAAAUUCUAGACCAUGAUUUCGUAUUGCCGAUUAGUGUCAAAAUUUCCAGAGAUUCCGUUAAUUAAAUUGGGUUUAUAAGAUUCUUAUUGAUUAGUGAAAAAUGUGAGUAGACUAGUGAGAUGGUUUGUGCAUAAGAGUUGUAUUAGUUCAUAAAGGAGUUUAGAAAGUAUGGCAAGUCAAUUUGUUUAUGAGAAUUGAGUAAUAAGAACGAAUGUUAAUUAUUGUUGUGAGGUGAUUAUUGGAGCUUAAUCAUGAAUUUAAAGAUGUUGGACUCUUGAAGAUUUUAAUUGAAUUGAGCGUUAUUUGGAAAAAUGAAAGAGGUACACACAUGUUCUUCCACAUUUGAAAUAUGAAUUUAUAUUUUGUAUAAUUACAUGGAUUUCUUGUGUUGAGCUCGAUAUAUAUAUGUAUGUAAAUAUUUUACAACCGUGGACACCUACAAAUAUUUAUGAUUAUGAGUUGCAAAAGAGUUAUGAAAUGAAGUCAUGCUCUGAAAGUUUGAAAUUUAAAAUUCCGAGAGGUGCCAAAACUUUAAAGAAUAUAAUCUGGUGACAUGGUUAUGUGAACUCGUUUUCAUGAACCAAUGAGACUUUAUAUGUUUGUAAAUGUUCUAUUAACGAUAGUUAUUAAAGUAUAAUUAUUUCAGUAUGAGUAUUUGAGUACAAGUGUUGAGUAUACAUAUUUUUGUAUAAUUACAAGUUUUAUUUUAUAAGGGGAAGUGAACAACAUUUGUGGAGCAGGUUUGCUCAUUAUGUGUUUGGAGCGAGUAUUGCUCUAUUAUGUAGGGUUAUGACCUAGAAAGUCUUGCAAGCGGUACAAAGUUGAUAGGGGAGACGUCCCCAUGAGUUUAGAGAUGGUAUAACCUCUCUAUUUGUAUAAGUUCCCCGAUUAUGGAAACUAUAAAGUAUUCUUGAAAUAUGAUUUGAGUAUGAUAAUGAGGAAAUGAUUUCGAAAUUGUUUUAGCUGGCUUAAUUUAUGAACUAAUAUGAAUAGUGGCAAGGUACAGGUGGAGGAAAAUGAUUCAUAUAUGAGUUAAAACCAGAUAAGGUCGAAUUUUGUGUUAUGUUAUAUUAUGUUAAGUUUCUGCCUGUAUUUUCCAGCGAUUUCUGUUACGUGAUUAACUAUGCCAGCGAUAUAUUUUAAAUAAUAAAUUAUUUUUCGAGCAAUUACCAAGUUUGUUUUUUACAUAAAAAAAAAAUAGUUUUGAUUGCUGCAACAACUCAGGGGUUUAUGUCGAAAUUCUGAGAUAUUAUACAAAUGAUUUUAUGCUAAGAGAUACGCUCUCAAUAAAGUGUUCUAAAAUAUUGAUUAACUAGUUGGAUUUAUUAAAAUGUCUUCGAAAGGAUUUAUCUAUAAGAUAGGUAACGAAGAACUAUUUUAUGAAAAGUGAUUAACGAUAUAAAAGUAUAUUUUAAGCCACUAAAAUGGAUUUCUGGUUGAAUAGUGUGUACUCAUUUUUUCUGAUUUUGUUCUUGGAACCUGUCCUGGUGGGGGCAGAGUUCAUUGUUAGUGAUCUUGCGGGUUCGUAUGUGGAAAACUCGGAAUGGAAUAAAAGGAAGAAUUUGGGUAUCAUGGUUAUAAUUAUAUUUAAUGGUUCAAAGGUUGUAUUUAGGAGUAUAUAUCCUUAUUUGUGAAUAUAAUAUUAUAUUGCUUUGGAAAUCGAGUAAAGGUAUUAUCUAAUCUGUUAUUUGGUUAUUAAGGAUGAAUUGUUGUGGGCCCUGACCCACAAGUACAAGAUCGUUUUAUAGGUUAUACUGAAAUGAGCUAAAGUUUUACAUUUUUAAAUUUCGAGGACGAAAUUCGUUUUUAAGGGUGGUAGUAUGUAAUAGCAAAAAUUAUAAGUAGGUUUCAUUAAAAUAUAAUUAUAUUUUAUUAGUCUAAUUGUAUGUUAAACUAUUCUAAAACAUCAUUGGAAAAAAAUAAAUUUUAAUUUCCAAAAUUCAAAUUUGGCUUUAAGUUAUAUUUUGAAAAAAAAAAAAAAAGAAAGUCCAUUCACUUUCUCCUCUUCUCUUUUCUCUCUCGUGUCUCCCUCAAGAAAAGCCAGUAAUUGAAAUAUUUGAGCUGUCAAUUACUCCAAGCUCCACAACAAGGAUUUAAUAAUCUUCAAGUUUAGCAACUCUGAUCCAUUAUAGCUCAUUCAUUCGAAAAUCUGAAGAAAAAAAAAAGCAGCAGCUUCGAGAAUUGAAACCCAAAGCUGAAAAGUCCAAAACCCCAAAAACUUAUCUUCCUUCUCACUUAUUUCAUCUCCUCUGUUUUCGUCAAUCUGUUUCUGCAAUUUUCUCAUACAUGCAAUCCAAAUUUGCUCCUUGUUUUUUCAUCAAAGUUGUAGAUCUCUUUGAGUUAUUGAAUUUAGCCACAAAAAACGUCCAAUUCGGAGUUCGAAGCUGUGAGUUAUGGGAUUUGCAAGUUUGGUCUUGUUGCUGUCAUUUUCUUUCGAGGUUUUGCGAUUUUUGCGGCAGCUUCGUGGUUGAUGUUGGUGCUCCUACUUCGUUUCUUCUACUCUUUAGUGUAUUAAUGAAGGUUUAAAGUUAAAAUCUUUACUUCAUUUUUUCUUCAAAAUGUUUAGAACAAAUUCAAAUGUAUUAUUAUUAGAUUGAAUUAGCAAAUUCAGCUCUAAACCUUGGUUUUCUUGGUUUUGAUGGCAAAAAUCAACAUGUGGUUGUACGUUAGAGCUAAAGAUUAAAUCUUUCUUUUUUUUUAAUCCAUGGAUUGAAGUUGUUUUGGAACUUGUAAAUCCUAGUUUAUAAUCAUCUUCAUUUUCCUAUAUUAACUUUAGUAAAUCAUAUUUUAUACAUUAUAUUUCUAUGAAAUUCUAGACCAUGAUUACGUAUUGCCGAUUAGUGUCAAAAUUUUCAGAGAUUCCGUUAAUUAAAUUGGGUUUAUAAGAUUCUUGUUGAUUAGUGAAAAAUGUGAGUAGACUAGUGAGAUGGUUUGUGCGUAAGGGUUGUAUUAGUUCAUAAAGGAGUUUAGAAAGUAUGGCAAGUCAAUUUGUUUAUGAGAGUUGAGUAAUAAGAACGAAUGUUAAUUAUUGUUAUUAUUGUUGUGAGGUGAUUAUUGGAGAUUGAUCAUGAAUUUAAAGAUGUUGGGCUCUUGAAGAUUUUAAUCGAAUUGAGCGUUAUUUGGGAAAUGAAAGAGGCAUUGGAAAGAAGACAGUUGAGGGCAUAUGAAAUGUUCAAGACAUGUCGACUUCAAGACAAGUUUCUCUCAAUCAUCUUACUCCAAGGUCCAAAAGACACCAUGCUAAUUUCCUAACUUGGCAUGUACAAGAAAUCCAAUACUAGAAAUUGGAGAUGGCAAGGCAAACCGUGUUACACUGACAAUGGAGGCUGAAAUUUUAUACUAAUUUCUUCUUUUUUCUAUUGAUGAUCUUUAAGUCAUGUAACUUUUUCAAAGGUCAAGGGUAAACGAGGUCUGUAAUUCAUUAUCUAUUAAUUUUUUCAAAGGCCAGUGUACGCCCAAGGUCACAGACACUAUAGUUGUAAUACAUGAUCACCAAAUGGCAAAUAAUCCAUGUCAUAAAAUUCGGAUAUUUGACCUUUUAAAACAA